UCCGUUCGAUCGACCGCGAGAUCGUCUGACGAGAAGUAGAAAGAGGGAAAAAUACGUUUGAUGUAUGGAUACAGGGCGAUAGCGUUUCCGCCAUUAUAUUAUCGUCUCCCGACGAGCCGAGCACGUGUGAUACAUGUAUAGUUUCUCCUGUUUUUGCAAACAGUAAGUGAGUGGCACUUAACAUCGUUUUGUAUCUGAUUCCUCUUUCUAGUUGGACGACAUUCGUUUUUCAAUGGCACUCGGUUUUUCUUUUUUAUUUUAUUUUAAAAUAAAUCAAAGUGGUACUGGGUUAACAUUUUAUGGGAAGAAAAUUAUGUUGAUAGCGCACAUCCAUAAUAUCAAAGCUUAUUGGAUAUUUAUCAAAGCGGAUAUUACAGCAAAGUAGUAGUAAUCAACAUUUGUAAUUCAGAGACAUUGACCG